GGAUAGCUCAGUCAGCAGAGCAUGAGACUCUUAAUCUCAAGGUCCUGGGUUUUCUUCAGGAACAAGUGAAUAUCUACAUUGGGAACA